AUUGAACGCUGGCGGCAUGCUUUACACAUGCAAGUCGAACGGUAGAGGGGGCAACCCCUCAAGAGUGGCGAACGGGUGAGUAAUAUAUCGGAACGUGCCCAGUCGUGGGGGAUAACGUAGCGAAAGCUACGCUAAUACCGCAUACGAUCUACGGAUGAAAGCGGGGGACUCGCAAGAGCCUCGCGCGAUUGGAGCGGCCGAUAUCAGAUUAGGUAGUUGGUGGGGUAAAGGCUCACCAAGCCAACGAUCUGUAGCUGGUCUGAGAGGACGACCAGCCACACUGGAACUGAGACACGGUCCAGACUCCUACGGGAGGCAGCAGUGGGGAAUUUUGGACAAUGGACGCAAGUCUGAUCCAGCCAUUCCGCGUGCAGGAUGAAGGCCCUCGGGUUGUAAACUGCUUUUGUACGGAACGAAAAGGUUUCUAUUAAUACUAGGAGCUCAUGACGGUACCGUAAGAAUAAGCACCGGCUAACUACGUG
rnacentral:rRNA from 1 species